rnacentral:rRNA from 1 species
UAAGACCGGCGCACGGGUGCGUAACGCGUAUACAAUCUGCCUUUUAUCCGGGGGAUAGCCCGAAGAAAUUUGGAUUAAUACCCUAUGGUAUAAGAGCACGGCAUCGUGCACUUAUUAAAGCUACGGCGGUAAAAGAUGAGUAUGCGUUCUAUUAGCUAGUUGGAGAGGUAACGGCUCCCCAAGGCGACGAUAGAUAGGGGUUCUGAGAGGGAUGUCCCCCACACUGGUACUGAGAUACGGACCAGACUCC